CUACGGGGUGCUGCAGUGAGGAAUAUUCGUCAAUGGGGGAAACCCUGAACGAGCAACGCCGCGUGCAGGAAGAAGGUUUUCGGAUCGUAAACUGCUUUUCUCGGGGAAGAGAAAGGACGGUACCCGAGGAAGAAGCCCCGGCUAACUACGUGCCAGCAGCCGCGGUAAUACGUAGGGGGCGAGCGUUGUCCGGAGUUACUGGGCGUAAAGGGCAUGUAGGCGGUGAUGUCAGUUUCUGGUGACAGGUCAGGGCUUAACCCUGACAGGUCUAGAAAGACGGCAUGACUUGAGUGCUGGAGAGGGAUGCGGAAUUCCAGGUGGAGCGGUGAAAUGCGUAGAGAUCUGGAAGAACACCAAAGGCGAAGGCAGCAUCCUGGGCAGUAACUGACGCUGAGGUGCGAAAGCUAGGGUAGCGAACGGGAUUAGAUACCCGUGUAGUC
rnacentral:rRNA from 1 species